UACGAAGGGGGCUAGCGUUGCUCGGAAUUACUGGGCGUAAAGCGCACGUAGGCGGCUUUUUAAGUCGGAGGUGAAAUCCUGGAGCUCAACUCCAGAACUGCCUUCGAUACUGGAGAGCUUGAGUCCGGGAGAGGUGAGUGGAACUGCGAGUGUAGAGGUGAAAUUCGUAGAUAUUCGCAAGAACACCAGUGGCGAAGGCGGCUCACUGGCCCGGUACUGACGCUGAGGCGCGAAAGCGUGGGGAGCAAACAGG
rnacentral:rRNA from 1 species